rnacentral:rRNA from 1 species
AGAGAGAGACAUGCGCGCAUAUCAAUAAGCGGAGGAAAAGAAACUAACUAAGGAUUCCCUCAGUAACGGCGAGUGAAGCGGGAAGAGCUCAAAUUUGAAAUCUUCAAGGUUCUACCUUGACGAAUUGUAGUUUAAAGAAGUGUUUUCUGCUUGAAGUUUUGGUAAAAGUUCUUUGGAAUAGGACAUCAUAGAGGGUGAGAAUCCCGUAUUUGACCAUUAUUUUCAGCUUUGUGAUACACUUUCAAAGAGUCGGACUGUUUGGGAAUGCAGUCCAAAAUGGGUGGUAAAUUUCAUCUAAAGCUAAAUAUUGGCGAGAGACCGAUAGCGAACAAGUACCGUGAGGGAAAGAUGAAAAGAACUUUGAAAAGAGAGUUAAACAGUACGUGAAAUUGUCAAAAGGGAAGCGUUUGACACCAGUGUUGUUUUCUCGAAAAUCAAUUAAAAAUGGCUCGAUUUUGUAUUGCUGAGACCUUAAAAGCUCACUGUACAUUUUUCGUGUCUUUUUUAAUGCACUUUUCGUUUAACAAGUCAACAUCAGUUUCUUUUGUUGUAAAAGGGUCAUUGGAAGGUGGCUUUCUUUUCGGAGAAAGUGUUUAUAGCCUUUGGCCUCUGCAAUCGGAAGAGACUGAGGUCUGCAGCGUAGACUCUUCGGGGUUAGAUACAUUUGUGCUAAGUUAUAGCCUUUUCAUAGACAACUUGUUGACUAUAAUUCAGUCAUGUAGCUUACUCGCUUAUGCUAUUUUACCUACGCUUAGGAUGUUGAAGAUGUAGCACAUCAU